CCAACAAAGGAGUAUAGUGCUGCACAGAAAAACUUUGCCCUAACAUUACACCUCUACUCAAGCAAGGCGUACAGGUACACCAGAGAGACGAAGGGAAUCAACCUUCCUGAGCCGCGUACGUUACGCAGGUGGCUUGAGAAGUAUGAUGCCCAACCUGGUUUGAAUGGGCUUAUGAUGAACUCCCUGGCAGCAAAGGCUAAAGAAAAUCCCGCAGACUACACGCUGUGCAGCAUGAUGUUGGAUGGCAUGAGCAUCAAGCAAAAGAUGGAAUAUGAUGCUAAGACAAACAAGACUGUUGGAUUUGUUGAUUUGGGAGCUGGUUCAGUGGAAGAUGUGGAGGCUAAAGAAGCACUAGUAGUCAUGCUCGUUGGCUUGAAAGCUAAUUGGAAGUGUGCAAUUGCAUACUACUUCACCAAAGGACUGUCCUCUGAACAACAAACAGAACUUGUAAAGCACUGUCUGGAUGCAUGCCAUGAAGCUAA